rnacentral:rRNA from 1 species
UGCGUAGGCGGAUUUAUAAGUCAGUGGUGAAAUCCUGAAGCUUAACUUCAGAACUGCCAUUGAUACUGUAGAUCUUGAGUACGGUUGAGGUGGGCGGAAUGUGUCAUGUAGCGGUGAAAUGCUUAGAUAUGACACAGAACACCAAUUGCGAAGGCAGCUCGCUAAACCGUAACUGACGCUGAGGCACGAAAGCGUGGGGAGCGAACAGGAUUAGAUACCCUGGUAGUCC